UUGUGGAAAUGAUGCAGUGUAAUUUGUGGUUCUGUUCUCUGACAAGCCAAAGCUCUGGGUCAUCCUUGGGGGGCUGUAUGGCCUCCUCAGUCCCUGCUCUCAGUACAAUAGGAGCACUGGUGUAUCUUUUCCCUGUGAAAACAUUCCCUAGUUAGGAUUUUGAGGCACUGGAAUGCAGCAGGACUGGAGUCUUUACAAGUGACAAAAGACACUUUCAGGUGGAAGAAGAGGGAGAAUCAUUUUAUCUGCAAAUAGUACUUUUAUCUUAGCAGAGUAUUUUAGUAAAUUGGUUUUAAAAAAAAUCUGUAGUGAAGAAAGUUUAUGUAACAACUAAUCUUAGACAAAUAAAAGUGAAGUGUUUAAAGGAGGCAAAUGUUGAACUCUAAAAUAAAACUAUUUGUAAAAAGAACCUGGAUUCAGUCAGUGUAAUGGAAAUAGCUCACAUAAGUUAUCUAUCAAGAGCUUUGAAAAGCUAGGAUUAAGGAAAAAGUAAACUGCACACAAUCCCUACGCCAAAAACUGAUUGCAGAAAUUACUUAGAGUGCAUGUGCAAAUUGGAAAACAUUAAAUGGCAAUUCAUAAUCAAAAUAUUUUUUCUACGUGUGUUUACCUCUUGGACUGUCAAUGCAGUGUCUAUUACUUUUUCCUUGCAGUCAAGUACAAAACAAGGGAGAACUGAAUUCCAAAAAGGAAAGUGUUGGCAAUUAAUUUUGUGUUAACAGGAGAAAGUUUCGCUAUGAGUCUUCUCUGGUCUUCAGGCCACAAUUAGACCAUUGCCAACAUGUCCAGGAUGAGCACUGCUCAGUCUCAGAGCCACCCUUGUCUGUGUUGCUGUUUGUGUUAAAGGCACCACAAACCACUGGAGAGAUUAUUACACAAUGUUUUCAUUAUGUGGCUUUGUCUUAAUUGGAUUGGAUGUCAGCAAAGAAGCUGUGGCUUUCAUAUUUUCUUUCACUGAGACUGACCAGAACUGGCAAUUUAUGGCUCACAGAGCUGAUGAUUUAGCACUUUCCAAGUUAGAUAUGAAGCCAAGUGCUGCAGUAAUUAUUCUGCAGCAAUGUCUAAUGGAUCUUCAAAAGCUGAACUUGGGGCUGAGUGAGGCUUAGAGGCAGUGCAGCAGCAGAACCAACAAAAUGGAGGAGGUAGUCACUUGCAGUCUGAAUCACAUUGUUGCUCUUCUUUUCCAAAGGCAGCUUCCAGACUUCAAUUAAAGUGACUGAAGUUGCUCUGUUUUCUACAGAAAUCAGAGCAAAACUGUCAUACGUGUAUAUAUGUAUGUGUGCUCGCUCGAAAGUUGUGCUAAAAUCACUUGUAAUCCACCCCAUCUUGCUGCCCUUUCCAACAACUGAAGACAUUAUUCAACAGCCUGAGGAUAUCCAGAUCCUCACAUCUUCCUUCAGAGCAAUUAAUACAGACCACAACUUGAAGCAGAGGGGUGUGCAUCUCUAUCCAUCAGCUGGCAGAUUGCAUGAGUUCCCAAAUGGCAGCUCCCUGGAAACCCUUUUUGGAGUAAAGAAAGUUGAAGUUCUUUUAGUAGGUAUGCACUCCUAUUCAUGGAAAAUCCUCCAACAAGAGCAUUGGAUUCCAUUAAUAAAGAAAAAGUACCUCUUGACAAUCAAAAGAGAACAUCAACAUCACAUUUUUCAUCUUCCAGCUCUGAGCCUCCAACUAGAGACUGUACCAGAAAUAAAAUGCUUUCUGCCACAGUAGGAUCACCAGCAAGCAUCAAAUGAAAUGAGACUGAAAUGGAGAGGGAGUACUUUUAUUUCUUGCUCUCCUCCGUGAUCGUCAUUGUGCUGCCAUUUCAGAUAUUGAGAUCAUUCAACCCUGACAUGAGCAAAACUUGUCUCUGAGGGCAAUAUGGCAAGUGAAAGAGCAGCUUUUAGACUGGAAUUUCUGAAAACACAUUAUUGCAGGCAAUUGUGAAAAUUCAGCAUCUGUCUUCUCCAAGUAAAAGUCGAACAGCAUUUUCCCUCUUGCUUCCACUGUGUAAGUAUGCAGUCUUCCACCUUUGAAAUGCGAAACGAAAGAGAACCUUGCAGCCUGUUUAAGGAUAUCUGCAUGACCCAGCUACAAGUAGUCAAGGAGCCAGAAGGGAUAAAGCUUUAGAGGUAGUCAAAUCGCCUGCAUCAAACACAGUUCAAUUUGAUUCAAGGUGAUUUGAAGAAGUAAUUUACCCAAAAUGUUCUGUUAGUAUUUGCUCGCAACAUCACACUAGUCUUUAGAUAUUGCGGAUGAUAAUUUAGAUAUUAUGGAUGUAGUAUUGUAGAUGGGGAGACACUGCAAGUCUGGUCCGCUUUAAACAAGGCAAAAGGAGCAGCAACGGAAUGCCUGGAGUGUGACAGACAGCAUCUGUUCCCCUUUGUCUUACUUAUAUGUGUGCAGAGACUUCUCGAUUAUCCUUGCAUUCAGCAGCAAACUUUGGGACAAAAGGAGUGUUGAGAAGAAGUAAACGACCACCCCCAAGGACUAACAAUGGACCGACAGUUGGCCAUUACGGUGCUAGAAGGCUAGAUGAUGGUGUUGGUCGCCAGAUAGGGUUGUGUCUGUUGGGCAGUCAUGGGGCUGGAUAGGAUAAUGAUUUUGGGAACGUAAUGAAUUUGUAAUACAUGUGAAAAUAUAACCUGCUCACGAACGAUCUAAUAACUGGUGGAGCGUUCUUGGAGAGUUACUUCGAUGAUGCCUCAGCGUUACCAAUAAAGAAUACCUUGCUUAACGGUAACAAAACUUUGCUGUUAAGUUUCUACUCAUCGAUUUCUUUAAACCAAAGGUAAUUAACCUUUGCUGGCACUGCAAACUGUCCCUAUGCAAAUAAGGAAGAAGAAUCUUGUACGUACAAUAAGCUAAAAGCGUAUCUUAAGUUUCAUUUCCUCUGCUUUUUUAAUGUUGCUAUCAGGAGUCACUCAGACUGUAAACAUGUGUAGCAAAUAAGAGAAAAAAAAUUACAAAAUUUUGAAAAAGAGAAAAAAAAUCUUGUUAUGCAGUGAAGGUUUCAUAUGGCAGAAGGAAAUGUAGAAUGGAGCUCUUUCCUUCAGUCUGCCAGUUUUCUUAGGAGAUUCAAGGUACAAUCUUCAAAUGCAUUUUGCCUCUUAACCAUCAAUAAAAUGGGGCAAAUCAUACUUUCUUUUGCUUUCACUGGCAUCCUUUGAAGAACAGUGUGUCAGGCAUUGCAAUGGAUGCUUUAGUAAUGGGCAGCAUAGAAGAAUCAAAGACAGCAGUUUAGCCAAGUUCAGCCAAGGUAAAUUCUUAUCAAGUGAGCAGACAAUGGUCAGGCUUACAUCCGUGUGUGAUAUAAAGUAUAUCAACUUUAAGAAAAAAAUAAUUUAAAGUUUGGGAAUUUUUUCCUGGCUUUGCAGAUCAUCUUUAAGUGCCUGUUGUCAUUUUCC